GUCUCUUCUCGGCCUUUUGGCUAAGAUCAUGUGUAGUAUCUGCUCUUAUCAGUUUAAUAUCUGAUAUGUCCCCUAUCUGGGGACCAUAUAUUAAACGGAUUUUUGAGAACAGGGGCCGAUUUCUAAGCUUGCUUCCAUUGCCCUAUUAUGCAUUGGCCCAAUAUCGCAAUAUCUUCAGGUACAGUGCACUACCC